CCGAGGGCCGAGGAGCACAACUCAGGCGGGGUGACCGCGCAGGUGUGGUUUCGGGAGGCGUAGAGCCGAGGGCCGAGGAGCACAACGCAGGCGGGGUGACCGCGCAGGUGUGGUCUCGGGAUGGCGUAGAGCCGAGGGCCGAGGAGCACAACGCAGGCGGGGUGACCGCGCAGGUGUGGUCUCGGGAGGCGUAGAGCCGAGGAGCACAACGUAGGCGGGGUGACCGCGCAGGUGUAGUCUCGGGAUGGCGUAGAGCCGAGGGCCGAGGAGCACAACGCAGGCGGGG
rnacentral:lncRNA from 1 species